rnacentral:lncRNA from 1 species
AGGUGAGCCAUUCUUUGCGAUUGAUUUUGGUGAUAAAGAACACUAAUUUUGAACCCCAGUUAAGCGAAAUGUUAUUCUCAUGAAGAGCUCUAUUCUCAACAGUAGAUCUAUAAUAAUGCUCUCGAUUGAUUGACUGACUGAUUGACAGUACUAGGGAUUUGCACCAAGUUACAUCCUCAGUCCUUUUAUUUUUUGAGACAAGAUCUCACUAACUUGCCCAGACUGAGCUCAAAAUUGCGAUCCUCCUGCCUCAGCCUCCCAGAGUGCUAGGAUUACAAGUCUGUCUUGUUGUUUUAGGUUUAACCCAUAUAAAAUGGGGAAGGGGCCCCGGAGAUCUAUUUCUAAAAGGGGACAGCGAAGUUGGACUACCGCUGUGGGGGCAGAGCCGCGACCCGCGAUCUGCAUGCGCCUCGGGUUCCGCACUCGGGGUGGGGGCUGGGCGAGGGGGGAGCGGGGCCUGCGACCCCCAGCGGCCGAGGCCGGCGCAUGCGCUCUCGGGCCGCAGCGCGGGCGCCAUUGCGGGAGGCGGCGGCCCAGCCCGGCUGGUGGACGCGGAGGCGAUUCCUUAGUUCACUGAGUGAGUGACCAAGACCUUGGAAUUUCUUCCCGCUGAUGUGGUGCAUCUCAUUACAGGUGCUCAACCUGAAAUCGCAUCUCAUGAGAUCCCUGACAGGAGACAAAUUUGAGUCUCAGAGCAGAGUCUCUAAAUAAAUGAUUGGUGCCUUUGUUGGGGUCGCUGAAGGAGCCACUUUCAGAAGCACUGGAACACCAGCUCUCAAGGAUCAACCAGUGACACCGAGGCCACCAGGGCCGCUGCGUCUCGGACUGAGCCAUUGUGCUGGGGAAUAAAGCUUCGGUGACACCGCCACACACAAACUGCCAAGAGGUGCUGCCGUUCUGCUGGGGACUGAAUGCAGGUACACAGAGGUAAGGUGAGCAUUCUGAGAAACAAGAGCACCAUCUCCUUUGUGUUCAUCCAGAGGAUCUCUUGGUGGAGAGGAGGAGCAGAUCUCUGGGCUCUAAAUUUCAACAUAAAUUAAUCCCUUUGGGGAUAAAGCAUAAGGAUAACAGGUUGUCGGCAUGUUUUCUCCAUAACCUCAUUUUAGAAUCACUUGGAGACUUUAGAAUUCAAAUGCCGUGCCCAGCCCUAGUGUGGACCAGUUCAGUGGAAGCCUUUGCGUGUGAGCUGAGGUUGGCCCCCCUUUUUCAUUUCUGCAGGAAGGUAGCCAGGGCUGCAAACCAUUGAGCUUCCCACAUGCGAAGACCCUGGACUUGUACCAUCAGAAACUUCCGAUGCUUUCUAUUCUGCAUGGUCUUCUGCUAUAUGGAUAGAGCCUAGUUUAUUGGAAAACUUUCUAUUGGUGACUAAUUUGUUACUAAUUUGGGACAAUAUUUUUUGAACUUCACAAUGGCGUGUUCGCGUUGUUUGUCUUAUUUCCAUAGGAUACAUUCCAGAUGUGAACCUGUGGCUAUUGCUACAUUUAGGUUGUUAGGCUGCAUCCAAAUAUGGACAUCCAGAAAAUGCGUGCAGGUUACAAUUAGGGUAUGAGAAUUCCAUUUCCUCACGCCUACACCAGCACUUUCAAACUCUACAGGAAUAGUAAGUAAAAAUGAGGCGUUAUUGUUUUGAGUGUUACAUUCCAGCCAACUUUUCAAC